rnacentral:rRNA from 1 species
GAUGAACGCUGGCGGCGUGCUUAACACAUGCAAGUCGAACGGAAAGGCCACAGCUUGCUGUGGUACUCGAGUGGCGAACGGGUGAGUAACACGUGGGUGAUCUGCCCUGUACUUCGGGAUAAGCUUGGGAAACUGGGUCUAAUACCGGAUAGGAAUCACAUGUGGGUGUGUGGUUGGAAAGCUUUUGCGGUAUGGGCUGGGCUCGCGGCCUAUCAGCUUGUUGGUGGGGUAAUGGCCUACCAAGGCGUCGACGGGUAGCCGGCCUGAGAGGGUGUACGGCCACAUUGGGACUGAGAUACGGCCCAGACUCCUACGGGAGGCAGCAGUGGGGAAUAUUGCACAAUGGGCGCAAGCCUGAUGCAGCGACGCCGCGUGGGGGAUGACGGCCUUCGGGUUGUAAACUCCUUUCGUCAGGGACGAAGCGAAAGUGACGGUACCUGGAUAAGAAGCACCGGCUAACUACGUG